rnacentral:ncRNA from 2 species
CUCUUAUCAAGAGCAGGUGGAGGGAAUUUGGCCCGAUGAAACCCAGCAACCGACCGUAAUACCAUUGUGAAAUGGGGCGUCUUUAUUUGAAGCCUGGACUUCCAGUAUGGCACGGUGCUAAUUCCAGCAAAGCUUAAGCUUUGCAAGAUAAGAG